GAUGAAGAACGUAGCGAAAUGCGAUACGUAAUGUGAAUUGCAGAAUUCAGUGAAUCAUCGAGUCUUUGAACGCACAUUGCGCCCCCUGGUAUUCCGGGGGGCAUGCCUGUCCGAGCGUCAUUGCUGCCCUCAAGCACGGCUUGUGUGUUGGGCUCCGCCCCCCUCCCGGGGGGCGGGCCCGAAAGGCAGCGGCGGCACCGCGUCCGGUCCUCGAGCGUAUGGGGCUUUGUCACCCGCUCUGUAGGCCCGGCCGGCGCCCGCCGGCGACCCCAAUCAAUCUUUCCAGGUUGACCUCGGAUCAGGUAGGGAUACCCGCUGAACUUAAGCAUAUCAAUAAGCGGAGGA
rnacentral:misc_RNA from 1 species